rnacentral:rRNA from 1 species
GUGGGGAAUUUUGGACAAUGUGGGAAACCCUGAUCCAGCGACGCCGCGUGAAGGAUGAAGGCCUUCGGGUUGUAAACUUCUUUUGGAGGGGACGAAUAAAUUGACGGUACCCUCAGAAAAAGCCACGGCUAACUACGUGCCAGCAGCCGCGGUAAUACGUAGGUGGCGAGCGUUACUCGGAAUUACUAGGCGUAAAGCGUAUGUAGGCGGUUGUAUAAGUCUAUGGUGAAAUUUCCUGGCUCAACUGGGAAGGGACAUAGAUACUGUAUGGCUUGAGUGUUGGAGGGGGAGACGGAAUUCCUGGUGUAGCGGUGAAAUGCGUAGAUAUCAGGAGGAACACCGAUGGCGAAAGCAGUCUCCUGGCCAAAUACUGACGCUGAGGUACGAAAGCUAGGGUAGCAAACAGGAUUAGAAACCCCUGUAGUCC